AGGAUGAACGCUGGCGGCGUGCUUAACACAUGCAAGUCGAACGGUGAAGGGGGAGCUUGCUCCUCUGGAUCAGUGGCGAACGGGUGAGUGACACGUGAGCAAUCUGCCCCGAACUCUGGGAUAAGCGCUGGAAACGGCGUCUAAUACCGGAUACGACGCGGGAGGCAUCCUCUCCGCGUAGGAAACGACCGUCGGUUCGGGAUGAGCUCGCGCCUAUCAGCUUGUUGGUGAGGUAAUGGCUCACCAAGGCGACGGACGGGUACGCCGGCUGGAGGAGGGUCGACCGGCCACGACGUGGGACUGGACGACCGACCGGCCAGACCGUCCGUACGGGAGCAGCGAGGUAGGGAAUAGUUCGACAC
rnacentral:rRNA from 1 species